ACGGAAGCCAGCAGUGAGGAAUAUUGGUCAAUGGGCGGAAGCCUGAACCAGCCAAGUCGCGUGAAGGAAGAAGGUAUUAUGUAUUGUAAACUUCUUUAGACGUAGAGAAAUAAGGGGAUCGUGAUCCCUGAUGCUAGUAUACGUAGAAUAAGGAUCGGCUAACUCCGUGCCAGCAGCCGCGGUAAUACGGAGGAUCCGAGCGUUAUCCGGAUUUAUUGGGUUUAAAGGGUGCGCAGGCGGCUUUUUAAGUCAGUGGUUAAAUCGUGGAGCUUAACUCCCUCCCGCCAUUGAUACUGGAGAGCUUGAUUGCGGUUGAGGUUGGCGGAAUUCGCCGUGUAGCGGUGAAAUGCAUAGAUAUGGCGAAGAACUCCGAUUGCGUAGGCAGCUGACCAAGCCGUAAAUGACGCUCAUGCACGAAAGUGCGGGGAUCGAACAGGAUUAGAUACCCUGGUA
rnacentral:rRNA from 1 species